rnacentral:snRNA from 1 species
AUUAUUUUUCUAAAAAAGAAAAAUCGUAUCAGUUUCUGAUACGUCCCCCGAUGGGGGGACUACAUGUUGAUUUUUCGAACAGGGAGUCGGAAAUAGGGGUUGCUCCGUCCUCUCCACGCAUCGACCCGGUAUUGCAGUACCUCCGGGAAAGGUGCAACACUU